rnacentral:lncRNA from 1 species
CUGCGCUGAUCCUUCUUUGAUGGUUGAUCAGGUGCCUCCAUCUUCUUGAUUUGGACUCUUCCAAAGAUGGAAAGUAGAAGGAGGAGUUUCAGAUCUGAGACGCUCUCAGAAAACUUAAGAUGGAGGGAGGAAAGAUAUGAAAACAAACAACCCUAGAAGAAGACCCUCUUCUUCUUCUUGUUUCUCUCUCUAGACACCC